CCUUGCAGUGUACUUAUUACACUGUAUUGGAAUCGCUUCUUUUCUCUUUCUCUGUGAAUUUCUUGGGAGCACAGACUACGUUCUGCUUAACUUUGUAUCCCCAGCUUUCAGCACAGUGCCUGGCUGGAAAUUGACCAUUGCUUCCAGACAUGUGCGGGAGUCCAGAACAUGCCACUCCAAAAGAAGGAGGAUUGUUGAGCUGAAGACAAUUAAGAAGAAACAGAUGCAGGAAAGCUCUCUGCCCUCCAUUUGCUUAAAUGCAGGACAGAGAUUUACAAGAUAAAAGACAUCCUGCCCCUGUCUUUUACCAGGGAGAACAAAGGUUAACCACUGAAGACAGUUUUAGACCAUUAUCUGCCAGGAGUUGGAGCAAGAGGAAUCUACCUGAACAUGCUUUACCAACUCGCUUUUAUCUGCCGGUUACUUGCUUCCCCGCAGAGAAGCCCCCUCUAGAGACCCAAAGUCCUUUUCCUUUGUCCUGUCACUUCUCUAAAAAUCACUAUUCUUUGUUGAAGAUGCUAUACAAACUGGAAUUCAAAGCUAUUUCUUUGAGAACUACUCCUUCCCUGGGUGUCUGCCAUGUAGAUGUGAAAUAUACAUGUAAAUAAACUUGUUUUUCUCGUGUGU